rnacentral:lncRNA from 1 species
CUGCUUCCGCUGCAGUUUGAACCGCUUCCUCUUUGCUUCACUUCCAACCGAAACCAAAAACAGCUCAACCAAAUCAAUUUCUAUCUCGCUCACCGCCUCUCUAUCUCACGCUCGCAAUCACUGCUAAGAACUCAAACCAAGAAAUCCAUUUCCACAAUUUCUCUUACAGUCACCGCUGCUCUCUCGCUCACCGCUUCAUCUUCAACAAAUCCAGCCGCAGCCCUUCGUCCUACACCCGGACUGCAACGUCGUCAUGACUCACCCCAGCAUCAGCAAAUUUCAACAUAAAAAGUGAUAUUCUUGUCAACAUAUUCGUAUAAAUUCGUUCAUGUACUUGAAAUUUUAUGUUUGCUUAGUGUAUGUUUUGAUAAUUAGAUCAUAUCAAGCUCCAUUCAUGCCCACUUCUAUUCCUAAGAGCCCGUCUUCUGUCAAUGGCGACAACGGAGGCUAAGCCUGAAGCCAAACCAGAACCAAAAGAAAUUGAAGAGAAUUCUGAACCUCUUCUCAAGUACAAGGUAAUUAAAACUUGAAAAAAAAAAUUAUGAGCACCAAUAACAAAGGAUUAUGACUUUCACAUGUUUAUAACAUCUUCUAAUUCUGUCCUAAAAUUGAAAUUAUGAAUCCUUAUAAACAAUCCUCAGGGAAGACAUCUUCCCGAUAUUCUUCGCCACAGGCCGUUGUAUUGAAGCUGGAAGAUGGGAGGGGUCUUCUCCUCCCCUCACAAUCUGAAAAUGCCUCUCUCAAUCGAAUAAAGAGUGAACACUGCCAAUUUUUUUAUAACUACUAACUUGUAACUUAUGUACAUAAAUUUAGCUUCCAAACAUCUCUAUCUUUUGAACAGUGAGCA